rnacentral:misc_RNA from 1 species
GUUUUGUCAUAUGAAUUACAUAUAUUAAAAAUAAAAUAUCAUUAAAACAAAAAAAUGUCCGCUGCAGGGUGCGGAAAGGGAAAGCUUUCUAGUAAGAAGAAUUAUUUGAGGGAACCCAUAAUCCCAUCUGUGCACUCAAAGGCAAAACUAAUGUUCUGUGGCUGCACCCUUGAUCAUUUCUCCAUCCCCGUGAAACAAAGCCGGUACAUAUGUAGAAUAUUGAUGCCAUUUCCAUUUCCUCACCCAGAACCAGUCGAAACUAGAGCCACUUUCUCCUCCCCCUGGCAAUGCGACAGCAUACAAUGACAGAGAG